rnacentral:lncRNA from 1 species
GUAUCUGACUCAGGACCUGAUUUAAGGUUUGGGGUUUUUUGGCCCUUUGUUUCUUCCUCUUGUUUUUUGACCUUUAGUUACUCCACACCUCAUUAGUUCCUUGACCUGCAGGUGGACUGAGAAGAGAGCCAUGGUAGCAGGCAAGAGUGUGGUUAUCGUUGGACCAGGAUUCAGGAUCUGACUGAGUAGCUGACUCUUAAUCCAGUUUGUGUUGAUCACCAGGAGGAUCUGGACCUCAGUAUUACCACAUCUAGAGGUGAUAUGCCAACUCCACCUUUGCCUUCCACCAUGUUUGGAAGCUCCCUGAGGCCUCACCAGGAGCAGAUGCUCGUCCCAUGCUUCCUAUAAGCCUGCAGAACUGGAAAAGAAAGCUGGAUAAAGUAUUUAUAGAAGAUAGAGGACCUGUGGUGGCUCAUGCCUGUAAUCCAAGGUGGAAGGAUUGCUUGAGGCCAGAAGUUCAAGACCAGUCCAAGCAACAUAGCAAGGCCCCAUCUCUACAAAAAAUGAAAAUAAAAUUAGCCGAGCGUGAUGGCUCAUGCCUGUAGUUCUAGCUUCUAGAGAGGCUGAGGCAGGAGGAUUGCUUGAGUCCAGGAGUUCAAGAUUACAGUGAGCUAUGGUCACACCACUGCACUCCAGCCUGGGUGAUGGAGUGAGACUGUCUCAAUAAAAAGACAAAAAGGCUGGCCAGGGGCAGUGGUUCAUGCCUGUAAACCCAGCACUUUGGGAGGCAAAGGCAGGAGGAUUGCUUAAGCCCAGGAAUUUGAGAUCAGCCUGGACAACAUGGUGAGACCCCCAUCUCUACAAAAAUUUUUUUUAAAAGUUACCCAGGCAUGGUGUUGCACAUCUGUGUUCCCAGCUACUGGGGAGGCUGAGACGGGAGGAUCACUUGAGUCCAGGAAGUUGAGAGGUUGAGGCUGCUGUGAGCUGUGAUUGUGCCACUGCACUUUAGCCUGGACAACAGAGGGAGACCCUGUCAACAACAACAACAACAACAAAAAAGCAAAACAUCAUAGGCUGCAGAAAUAAACUUUCUUGUCAAUUGUGUCUUUAACCAUGACCAUUUUGAGUCAUUUCCACAGUGAGUUGCCUAAUUUUGAUGCAUUUCUGAAAACUCUUUAUAAGCAAGUAAAAUCCUAGAGAAUUGUGCCUUCAAGGAGACUCAUGGAAAGGAUGGAAAGAACUCUUGAAUACAUGUUUCUGAUAGCUUUAUGAUCAUAUCAUUUGGACUGGGUAAGAAUUCCCAGAACUCAUGAAGAGACUGACUAUUUAUUAAUCCAAGCAGGAAAAGAAUUAAUUGAAUACCAAGGAAAUACUGUGCCAGAGAUUUUCAUGCUAAAUCAGUCAGCACCGAAAUCGUUAAGAUGUGUAGUUUGAAUGAACUCCAUGAUCCUAGUCAAAUUUCCUAUGAUGACCCAUUUAAUAAACAGUGCUAUGCACCUGAAUUGGAGAAACAGAAUUGAUACUUAAAUCCAAUGUUAAUCAUAGAUUCAUGGAAAGCCUAAAUGGCUGCUUGGGUCUUCCUGAGCCCUUAAAGCUUCCAUUAUUAAAGGCUCUGCACUUUAUAAGUUAUCACUGAAGAGAGAAAAUGAUCCAGAUUUAAAAUACACAUAUUGGUGUGGUGAAUGUUCUAAAUUGCGAAAAUGGUUUAUGACCAACAUUUGGUUUGUCAUGCUCACAAUCCUGGAAAUACAUUCAAAACUUCAGGUACAUUUCUGCUACCUGAUGGGCUAUUUGAAUAUAUAGAGAGGGAUUUCAUUCAAUUGCCAUUUUCAUUGCAUGUUUUUUGGUUGUAUAGAAGCUUUCCCAUGCAAGGAGGCUGAUGCUGUUAUUACAGUAGCUAAAAGGUUAGUAGGAAAUGUGUUUUCCCCCAUGGGGCAUUCCUGGAGAAAUCUCUAGCAAUAAAGGUACUUGUUUGACUGGACAAGUUGUAAAACAGUUUAAUAAGGUUUUUUUUAGGUGUCAUAGCAUUAGGCAAAGCUAACUGAAUUGACUGGAUUGUCAUAGUCAAACAUAUUGCAGAUCCGCUUCCAAUAGAAGACAAUGAAAUAGUCACUGGAAAGCCUGUGCUCCUAAUUUUAGAACCUCAUGUAUCUUCUGCUCCUAAACUCUGAUAGGACUAAAUGCUGUGAGGCCUCAAUGCAUUAUGUUAAUGUGUAUUUUCACCAGGUCAAGGAAGCUUUUCCUGAUCCACUAACUAAGGACAAUCAAACCCUUCAUGAUCUAGAAUCUGGAGACUGUGUCUUCUGGGAAUAGUAUCAGAGAAAGACUGCCCUUACUGCCCACAUGUAGCAAAACUUUGAGACGUUGAAUUAUGGGUCCAUAAUCUCACAACUCAGAGGGGCACCUCUAGACUCUUGGAACUGUAUAUCUAUUGGAGACUUUAAGGUAAAGCUGAACAGAGAGACGUUUUUCUCCAGAAGCAGACAGCACCAUAGUCAUGGACAGCUUUCCCAAGAUCACAGAUCAAGACUUCUCUGCCGUCAUGAGACUCAUAACCUCUUAAUUUUUUCUUGCUUAUGCUUCUGUGAACAAUAGAAUUGGAAAAGGGGUGGUCCCGCGUGCACCCAUAGGGUAUACUUUUAUUUGUGGAGGAUUUUGCUGCCAACCUUAUACAUGGGCAAACUUAUGCCUUCAUGGAUGGAAGAUAAAGGGCUAAUAUGGGUUAGAAAUUUUAAUGGUACCUUUGUUUCUCCAUAAUCAUUCAGAAACAGAACACUGGUCCACUCUUGUUAACCUACAUCAUAGGUUGAAGAGAACAUUGCCAGGAGGCCUUCAUCCUUCCAGAUGGGCACCAUUUGUUGGGUCUUUUUCCGUGGUAUGAAGAAAAUGAAGCAAUGAUUAGAAAUUGGUCCCUCGGCCGGGCACAAUGGCUCAUGCCUGUAAUCCCAUCACUUUGGCAGGCCGAGGCGGGUGGAUCACCUGAGGUCAGGAGUUUGAGACCAGCCUGACCAAUGUGGUGAAACGCCAUCUCUACUAAAAAUACAAAAAUUAGCUGGGUGUGAUGGUGCACACCUGUAAUCCAGCUACUCGGGAGGCUGAGACAGGAGAAUUGCUUGAACCUGGGAGGCAGAGGUUGCAGUGAGCCAAGAUCACCCCACUGCAUUCCAGGUUGGGCAACAGAGCAAGACUCUGUCUCAAAAAAAAAAGAAGAAAGAAAGAAAUUGAUCCCUCAUAAUAGGCUGUAUAGCAGAUUCUACUGCAAAGGCUAUGGUUGCACAACAGACUUCUUUGAAUUUGCUUGCUAAACUUUUACUGGAUAAUACUGGGAUUACAGGUGUGAGCCACUGUGCCCAGCCUCUCCUGUUUAACUGUAUUCAUUCUAAUGUUUACUUACUUCUUUAAUUUGUAAAAUUGGGUCACUUAGAGUUUUUUUAGCCUAUCUUGCCAUUUAGCCACUGUUACUGAUAAUUUGGAUGGAAAAGAAAAAUAAAUUAUAUCACCUCUCA